rnacentral:rRNA from 1 species
UACGAGGGGGGCAAGCGUUGUUCGGAAUUAUUGGGCGUAAAGAGCUCGUAGGCGGUUUGUUGCGUCGGCUGUGAAAUCCCGAGGCUCAACCUCGGGUCUGCAGUCGAUACGAGCAAACUAGAGUGUUGCAGGGGAGACUGGAAUUCCUGGUGUAGCGGUGAAAUGCGCAGAUAUCAGGAGGAACACCGGUGGCGAAGGCGGGUCUCUGGGCCGUAACUGACGCUGAGGAGCGAAAGCGUGGGGAGCGAACAGG